UCAGUGUGCGACGGUUCCUGUUCCGAAAUAUAGUUCUAAAGAGGCGAGGAAAAAGUGAACAGUGCAGAAAUUAAAUAGAUUCCAUUUAAAGUUGACACAUUUGCCAAAGACCCACAAACAUAUAGAUUACAAAUUACGUGCCAUUCGACCAAAUCUUACUAAAAGCGACACGAAUAAUUGGCGUAAUUAAAUAUGUUUUCAACUAAGUAUAUUAUAUGCACUACACUGCUGUUGUGUUGGAGCUUGACUGUUCAAGCGCAGUUGGAUGCAAACCUUAAAAAUGCAAAUAUUCCAAAGUCGGUGUCCCCGGAUGUACCUAUCGAUGAAAAUGUGACCAAUGCGAGCACCACUAGUAGCACUACAACCACAGCUGCAACUACAACUACUACACAGGAGCCAAUCACCUCUACCACCACUACGGCCAAGCCCACACCAACGACCUCCACCACCAGCACAACUACGGAAGCACCGAGCACGACCACACCAUCACCAGUGCCAACAACCACACCAAAGCCAACACCCUUCCCGGCACCUAGUGUUGGCACAUGGAAUAGCUCAUGUAUUGCUUUAAAAAUGGCCGCCCAACUGAAUUUUACCUACGAGACGAAAGAAAACAAACUAGCUACUGGUCUUUAUAACAUACCCAGCGAUGCUAAGGUGGAGGACUUUUCAUGCGAAAAUAAAACCAUUCAGAGUAUUGAACUUAUGUGGGGACCUGAUGAGGCAAAGCAUUCACUGACUUUGACGUUUGAAAAGGUUAACGGAAGCAGCGUUUUAUCUACGAUCAGCAUUCAUUUACCGUUGCUGAGUGAUAACUUCCCUGAUGCCAAGGAGAACGAAACCAUUUUGAUGACCCACACUAAGCCAGAAUUCAGCACACCUGAGAAAAUGUCCUACCAUUGCACACGCGUCCAGAAGUUUAACCUAACCGAAAACAUUGGCGACGUGAAGGCUAAGGGUGUCAUAAGCGUGAGCCAAGUUCAGGCCGAGGCAUUCCGUGUAAGCAACACAACAGCCUUCUCCACUGUUCAUGAUUGCGACAGCUCGGAAACAUCCGAUGUGGUUCCAAUUGCUGUGGGCAUUGCUCUGGCUGCCUUGAUUCUGGUCGUGUUGAUCUCUUAUCUGUGCGCACGUCGUCGUUCCACCUCACGCGGUUACAUGAGCUUCUAAAAUUGAACUGCCCAGUUAAAGACAGUUAAAGAGGGAGGGCGCAUUAUUAAGAGAGAAAUCAGGCAGUUACCUGGAGAGUAGCCCUUGCUACUUUUUAUAAAAUUGAAAAAGCUUAUUCAAUGUGCGACCUUUUGCAUAUGCUUGCUGCAAAUAUAUUUUGAGGCAACGUUUAUAGUUAUUUUCGAUAAUUAAAAUUUGUCAAAAUUGAUGGCGAUAAAGGAGUAAUAUCAAAAAGAAGUCCACAUAUAUGAAUAUAAAUAUAAUAUAUAUAUACAAACGUGUAUGUCCGGAAUAUGUAAAAUGUCGAGUUCGCGUGCAUUGUGUGCUGUUAAAAUGUAAUUACUCUUAAACAUGAUUUCUAUUUCAUUUCGUGUACGAACAACCAAGCGGAAUCUUACAAUAAAAUUGAUUUAAAUUUUAGUCUACAAA